UACAGAGGUCCCGAGCGUUGUUCGGAUUCACUGGGCGUAAAGGGUGCGUAGGUGGCGAGGUAAGUCGGAUGUGAAAGCUCGGAGCUCAACUCCGAAAUGGCAUUGGAAACUACCUUGCUCGAGGGUUGGAGGGGGGACUGGAAUACUUGGUGUAGCAGUGAAAUGCGUAGAUAUCAAGUGGAACACCAGUGGCGAAGGCGACUUUCUGGCCUAUAACUGACGCUGAGGCGCGAAAGCGUGGGGAGCAAACAGG
rnacentral:rRNA from 1 species